AACACACUUUGCUUUCCUCUCUCUCUCUUCCUCCUCCCUCUCCUCCUCUCUCUUCUUGGCGUCAUUUUAAUCCUCCCUCCAUGCUGAGAGGUACAGUAGAUACCCACAGAGUGGAGAGCAGGGUAGAAAGAGAAAAAGGAAUACGGAAAGGACAAUUUUCUCCUUAUUUCUUCGUACCUGUCACUCCUUCUUUCUCUCUCUCGUUAUUUCCUUCUCCUCCCUCUGAGGUUUUUCUUUAUAGAGUCAGAUGAGAGAUGGGAUGUGGAAAUUCCUCCCCAACGACCGCCACCAACAACAACAGCAGCAGCACUGCAGGUCGCGCUGAGUCUUCAUCAAAGGUAUCAGAGGAGUCUGUGCCAGAAGACGACAAAUGGCAGAACUAUGGAGGUGUGUAUGUGGGUUUUCCUGCAGACCUGAGCAACAUUCCUCAAGUACAGAUAGGAUCACUCAGAGAGAAUGAGAGAGACUCCCUCAGGAAGCCGCUGUGGGGGAACGGACUCUAAUUUUUAAUGAAUAGCCAGGUGCUACAGAGGAAUGAUACGGCAGGAGGGAGUAUGUCCAGUGAGAAGAAGAGGAAGAAGAAGCCCUCCAGGUGGUCUUCAGGUCCACAGUGUUGUCAUCAGGAACCCAACCAAAUCUCAAAUGGGAAAACAGCAGCACCCGGUGGAGCCAAUCUUCCCUCCCAGCGUCCCCCUGUAAGGACUUUACAGGUUCUGACUGACCUUGUUGUGUCGACCGGCUGCUUUCAGACUUUUUUGUGCUUCUUGUGGAAGCAGAUGUCAAACGUGGACUCGUGAACCAUCUCCAACCCACGAUGGAUUCCACUGGGGCGCCACUCGAUUUGGCCUUUUUUUUCGUGGCAUGCUGCAUGUUGUGUAGCUGCUUAAUGAAGUGCCAGCAGCAGGUGUUACAGUGAAUGCCUAUCAGCUGAUUAGCACAGAAUGGCUGAGUGAGAGGCCGAAGCAGUGCUGUAAGCUCUCCUUGUUGUUAAUUUAAGGUCUGAAAAAGGGUGAAUAUUAAACAGGACUACAUGUAAAAAUACAUUAAAAUGGUAAAUCCGGUGAUCUUCAGUCAACAAAUCCCAUAAAAAUACCAAAACCAACAAUACACUGAUGCAACUAAUAUGCAUUAAUCCAAAGCACAACACACAGUUGUUUAUUUUGUCCUCCUGCCCCAAAUACUCACUAGAGCACCAAAUGUGGAUUCAUCCGCUGCUUCAAAUAGUCCCUAGCAAAUGUGCUUUUUCCCCUUAUUUGAGUAAUGUUUGCUAAAAACUAGUUACCAGCUGUUUUAGGAAACUCCAGAGACAUUUUUCUUUAUUAAAUCAUAUAUUUUUUACCCUUUUUUAAAAGAUUUACAUCCCUGAGAGUCCUCGAGAGACAGAUCAUUGUUUUGUUGCUGGUUUUGGUCUUUUAAUAUGAUUUGCUGACAAUAAAAAUAAGGAUUUAUAGCCAACAAUAUGAUUUAAACUCUCAUUUAGGUCAACUAUCAUGUCCUAUAUAUGUCCUAAGAUCAAUUUUAAGCAAGCUACGUGAGGGACAUCUUGCUUUAUUUCUUCUUAAAAACAGCUUUACAGUAUAAAAGUAAUAAAAGGCAGGAACUCACCUGUAGUUUGGUUUCGCUUGUAAUGAAAAACCUGCAGACUCUCGGCCCCUCAAGGACCGCACAGUAAAUGGCUCCUGCAGCGAGAUGACGUCAAGUGAAUCUUUGUGAGUCUCCCGAGGGCGUUUACACGGAUGAGAAAUGAAAGCUGCAGUGUAUGUAGUGUUCAACCUUCGAGCUCAAGGUUUUCUUAGGAAGCUGCUAAAAGUAAAGCCGUUCACAUGCAUGUGGGCUACCUGAUAUAAGUGGAGGAAGAGGGGUUAAAACUCAGGAUUGUGCUGAUUGCUGCUGGAGGAAGUUGCCAAAAUCGAGACACACAUCUAAGCAUUUGACGCCGGCUCGGGUGUUUCUUAAUUUUAAAUUUUCUUUAAUAGUUUGUGAGUAAUAGUCCGUUUAAAUUCAGCCAAAUAAGCCAUACUCUCUAAUUUAACUCAAAAGUCUUCAGGUUGUAGCAAAGCAAUUAUCAGGACACGAGUCACACCGAUCCUCGUCUGCUGCUCUACAUGAUUAACAAUCACUUGAGUUAUUGUAUGAAAAAUACCGGAUAAAUGAAGCACAGGGAAUCUCUGCACACUCGAUUCCACUGUCUCCACACGGAUGUAUUUUUGGGCUCAUCAUAUUAUAUGAGUGAAAAAUGGAGGAAGGAAAAUAUGAAAAUGAAGUGGUUUAUGACUUUUAAUGGAACAAUAACUUAACUAAACUAAAGAAAGUUGAUUUUGUUUGUAAGAACAAUGUAAUCAAACUUGCUUUAAAACCAAAAUGAACCAGUUUUUCAUAAAUUGUGUGAAUUAAAAGAGUAAUCCACCAAUUUAAGCAUUGUUGGAUAACGUACAGUUAAAAUAAAUAAAGGAUCCAAAUCAAUCGCAGCAGAACCAGCAACGUCUUCGUUUUUUAUUCUUCUUCCUUGUCGCCUACAUUACCCACAGUGCAACUCGAAAGGCUGUAUACAGCAGUGGUACUCCAACACCUGUAAACAGAGCCCCCCCCUUUAAGUAAAUGAUGUGCUGUUUGUUCAUUUGUGCUGCUUCAGUAAUUAUCUCCUCAGGUGGAUUCACUGUGUCUGUAAAUAUCUUUGUUUUUUUGUGUCUUUAUGUUUGUUAUUUUUUAGUAAAAUCUAUUUCUCUGAA